CUGGCCCUUGCUUGUGAGUGACGGAGAAACCCACGGCACCGGCCCUCGCUUGUCCAUAGAACACAAAACCACCUCCAGCCCAGGACCCCCGGCAAUGCUCAAGGACAUGUGUCUCCUGAAAUCCAUACGCAGUCCCAAGACCGAUGAAGGUGGAGCCCCUUGAGUCUCUGCCUCGCUGUGGACUCAAGGAACCAUCCUCCGUUCCUGCUGGUCUCAACGUCGUUGCCUGCCUGCAGCCUCUUUGGACACUUGGCAUCCCAGUGAUGCCUGCCCCAUACUCGACCAACCGUCCUUUCCCCACUCUGGCCCCGGAGAGGGCAAAGGCACCUGAGAAAGAGGAGGCAAAGCCCCUCUGCUUUCCAUACUCCUCCC
rnacentral:lncRNA from 1 species